UACGGAGGGUGCGAGCGUUGUCCGGAAUCAUUGGGCGUAAAGGGUGCGUAGGUGGGCAGGUAAGUCCGUGGUGAAAUCUCUGAGCUUAACUCAGAAACUGCCGUGGAUACUAUUUGUCUUGAAUAUUGUGGAGGUGAGCGGAAUAUGUCAUGUAGCGGUGAAAUGCUUAGAUAUGACAUAGAACACCAAUUGCGAAGGCAGCUCACUACACAAUUAUUGACGCUGAGGCACGAAAGCGUGGGGAUCAAACAGG
rnacentral:rRNA from 1 species